UUCUCCGUGAUGAGUCUGAAGACACGACAAUUUCUCGACAAGGAGGGCAAAACUUCAAAGUCAAUUACUCAAUCAACUCAUUCGGUAGUAUCAAAAUUCAAGCAUGUGCGAUCUGCCAAGAACACAAAUAUUGACGUCCAUUUAUUAAGCAAGUGGUGGUGAUUUGCGAUCUGCCAUGGUCUACACGCAAGGGAGGAAAAUUAAUUGUAUUAAAUGAGUCCACGUUAUCGUGACAUUCCGGUCUAAAAAUGCAACUUUUCCAGUUGUUCGGUCUCUCUUACUAUCUUCUCUCUUCAUCUUGCUUGCGUCUGUCAUCGUCGUGUUCUCUUCGCGCCUUUGUUGCUCUUCACUUCUUCAGUCGUUUGGUCUCUCUUGCUAUCUUCUCUCUUCAUCUCGCUCAGUCUCAAACUGGAUAGUUUUGCGCAGCUUCAAAUCAACCUCUCUCCUCUCAGUCAGGUCACUCUGUUUCUUCUACAGUUCCAGGACGAGUUCGUCGCAGCCAAAGUUGAUACUUUUGAUUCCAAAGUUGCCUCCUUUAUAUCUCACAAAGCAGUGCCGAAAUUCUCACAAGUGCAGUGGUUAAAGAAGAGUACAAGAAAAAGUUCUGUUUAUUUCUCCAUAAAAGAUUAAGAAAGUUGGUAGCCACGAAUUAACUCACUAUCAACUUUAUACCAACAUUGGAGCGUGCCUUAAAAGUGCCCCGUGCCAGCUCCCCAUUCCUAUGCUAAUUGCCAGAGGAAAAACAUUUUCAGGCCCUAUGCCAACAUCGUACCCUUGCCCGUGCCGAAAUCUAUCCCUUUUCCCGUAGCGGAAUAGGGACCACUAGACAGCGCAACCACGCAUACAAUACUUCGAGAUCGAAAGUAUUUUUUAAGAUUGAUGCUUACAAAAGUAAAGGUAACAACAAUAUCAGGGCAAUCAGAUGUGAUUGAAGGCUUAGGGAAAGCAUAGAUUAUGUUACAAAAUUGAGCAAUAUUGUCCAUACAGAAUGCGUUGUACGCAACUAGAUCUACUCGAAAUUUGUUGAGUUUUAAAGACAUAUGUUUAAAUGGAUAUUACAUUGAAACAAAAAGUGCUGAAAAUGUGAAGUAUAUAUGCAUUACCUUCAAUGAUACCCAAAAACGUAUAUUAGAGACUUUGCGUGGUUUGACAAGUGGAUUGUAUUAUACAUACAUAAAAACUGUUGAAUCACAUACUGUCAUGAACCAGAAGUUCAUUGAUUCAAAAGUUUACAUGUUUUGUCAUGACCGUCUGGGUUACCCAGGAUCUACCAUGAUGCGUAGAAUCAUUACCAACUUUAAUGAACAUCCACUAUUGAGAAGACACAUUACUAUCUCAAACAAUAACCUUUGCAAGGCUUGUUCUCUAGGGAAGUUAGUAAUUAGACUAUCACAACUAAAGGUUGAUGUUGAAUCUCUAUCAUUUCUACAAAGAAUUCAAAGGGAUAUUUGGAGGCCUAUUCAACCAUCUUGUGGACCAUUUCGAUAUUUUAUGGUUUUGGUUGAUGCAUCUACCUGAUGGUCACAUGUUUGUCUCUUGUCUACUCGAAAUGUAGCUUUUGCGAGACUUCUUACUUAGAUAAUUAAGUUGCGAGCAUAGUUCCCGGAUUAUCCCAUUAAGUCAAUCCGACUUGAUAACGUAGGUAAAUUUACGUCUCAAACUUUUGAUGAUUACUGCAUGACAUUGGGCAUUGUUGUUGAACACCGUGUUCCUCAUGUCUAUACUCAAAAUGGUUUAGCAGAAACAUUGAUCAAGUAGCUUUAGUUAAUAGCCCAGACUCUGCUUAUGAAAACAAAAUUGCUAGUUUUUGCAUUGGGACAAACGAUCUUACAUGCUGCAUCAUUGGUUCGAUUGAGGCAUAUAGCCAACCACUAAUACUCAUCAGUACAACUCGUGUUUGGGCAUCAGCGAAACAUUUCACAUUUACAAGUUUUUAGUUAUGCUGUUUAUGUACCUAUUACACCACCAUAACGCACUAAAAUGAGACAGUGCAGACUAAGAAUUUAUGUAGGUUUUGAUUCACCAUCUAUCAUUAGAUAUUUGGAAACCUUGACAAGUGAUAUGUUUACAGUUCAUUUUGCUGAUUGUCACUUUGGUGAAACAGUCUUCCCGUUAUUAGGUGGGAGAAAAGACCGUUCCAGAAGAACGACAAAAGCUGACAUAGGUUGUUCCCACCUUAUCUCAUUUUGAUCAACGUAGCACUCAAUGUGAAAAUGAAGUGAAAAGGAUCGUUCAUCUUCAAAGUAUUGCCAAUCAAAUGCCAGAUGCAUUUAAUGAUGCUAAGAAAGUGACAAAAUCAUAUAUACCAGUUGCAAAUGCACCUGCGAGAAUUGAUGGCCCUGUUGAACAAAAUAAAGUGGCAGCGAAUGAUUUAUUUAGUGCACGCCUAAAGCGUGGUAGACCACUAGGUUCAAAAGAUUCAGCCCUUCGAUAGAGAAAGACGAGGGCACAACUGAAUCCAAAUGAAAUCAUUCAAGAAGAAAAAAUGAAUGACACAUCCACAAUUCAUGAUUUUGUACUUUCAGAAAAAUAAAAUGUCCUUGAUGAGACACAUGUACCUGAAGAAACAGAGGUACAUGAAAACAAAGAAAUCUCUAUAAAUCAUGUUUGUACUAAUGAAUUGUGGGAUCAGAAUGAAAUAAUCAUAUAUGACAUGUUCGUAUUCGUAGUAGCCACUAAAAUCAUAUUAAGUGAUGAUCUUGAGCCCCGCUCUCCUGAUGAAUGCAAACAGCAGCAAGAUUGGCCUAAGUAGAAAGAUGCAAUCCAGGCUGAAUUAAAUUCCUUGGAAAGGCGAAAUGUUUUUGGACUAGUAGUCCAAACCCUACCUGGUGUAAACCCCGUGGGCUACAAAUGGGUAUUCACAAGGAAACGCAAUGAGAAAAACGAGAUUGCAAGAUAUAAAGCACGACUUGUUGAACAAGACUUUUUGCAAAGGCCUGUAAUUGAUUAUGAGAAGACAUACUCCCCUAUAAUAGACGCAAUUACGUUCCGUUACUUAAUAAGUUUAGUGGUUUUAGAAAAACUUGACAUGCGACUUAUAGAUGUCAUCACCGCAUAUCUAUAUGGAGAAUUAGAUACUGACAUAUACAUGAAAGUCCCAGAAUGACUUAAGUUGCAUGAAACAACUAACAAACCACGACGUAUGCUCUCUAUCAAAUUAAGGCGAUCAUUGUAUGGGUUGAAACAAUCUGGACGAAUGUAGUAUAAUUGUCUCAGUAAGUAUUUGAUCAAAGAAUGGAUAUCAACAAUGUCAGUUGCCCUUGUGUGAUCAUUAAGAAAUCCAACUCUGGAUUUGCUAUAGUGGCAGUAUAUGUUGAUGAUAUAAACCUAGUUGGAACCCUUGAAGAGCUUAAUAAAACUGCGGAAUAUCUUAAAAGUGAAUUUGAAAUGAAAGACCUUCGAAAAAUAAAAUUUUGUCUCGGCUUGCAGAUCGAGCAUUGUGCUAGUGGAAUUUUGGUCCACCAAUCAGCUUACAUUGAAAAACUCCUGAAGCGAUUUAAUAUAGACAAGGCUUAUCCACUCAGCAUGCCAAUGAUCAUUCGUUCUAUAGGCAUUAAGAAAGAUCCAUUCCGUCUAAAAGAAAAUGAUGAAUUGGUCAUUGGUCCAAAAGUACCAUAUUUGAGUGCAAUAGGUGCUUUAUUGUAUUUAGCAUAAUGUACUAGACCAGAUAUAGCUUUUUCAGUCAAUUUGUUAGCAAGGUAUAUCUCUACUCCAACAAUUCGUCAUUGGAAGGGAGUCAAAGAUGUAUUGCGAUACCUUCGUGGAACAACAUAUAUGGGUCUUUUCUACUCAAAGAAAUCCACAAAUAACCAGAUCCUUGUUGGAUAUACAGAUGCUGGUUUUCUCUCUGAUCUGCAUAAAGCCCGCUCACAAACUGGAUAUGUGCUCAAGAAUAGAGAUACAACAAUCUCAUGAAGCUCAAUAAAACAAACAUUAGUUGCUAGAUCUUCAAAUCAUUCAAAAAUACUUGCUUUACAUGAAGCAAGUCAUGAAUGUGGUUAAGAUCAAUGAUCUAUCAUAUUCAGAAUUCAUGUGAUCUACCUUCAAAGACAGAUACUCCAACUGUCAGUCAUGAAGAUAAUGCAGCCUGUGUUGCCCAAAUGAAGGAAGGAUUCAUCAAAGGUGAUAAGACUAAACACAUAUCUCCAAAGUUUUUUAGUGUACAUGAGCUUCAGAAGGCUAAAGUUAUUAAAGUUAGACAAAUCCGUUCCAAUGAAAAUUAGGCAGAUUUGUUCAUCAAAUCUCUACCAAAGUGCACGUUUCAGAAGAUAGUGCAUAGUAUCAGAUUAUGUCGACUUAUUAAACAGCUAAAUUUGGAGAAUGCAGAAUUAGAGGGAGAUAUAUAUCGAGGGGAACAUCCAUGAUACGUGCAUGUUGUACUCUUUUUCCUUCAAUUAAGAUUUUUCCCACUGGGCUUUUCCUAUCAAGGUUUUAACGAGGCAACAUAAGCAUAUUUAACAUUAUAUCAACAAUCCAAGUAAAGUUGUACUCUUUUUCUUUUGCUAUGGUUUUUUCCCACUGGGUUUUUCCAAGCAAGGUUUUAAUGGGACAACUAAUGUUGAUAUGUGGGUAUCCAAGGGGAAGUAUUGAAAACAUUGGCAUUGUUAUGAAUGCCCACACACAAACUUUUCAAUGCCCACAAAUGUGAUGUAGAAUUUGGAAACAAAAAGAUCGUAUUUUCAAAGUCAUGUGAUGUAAAUUUCAAAAUGUAAUAAUGCGAGUUGCUUUAUAAAUAGAGCAGUCGACUGCAAUCAAAACACAGAGAAAGAAAGGAAAGAUCAAUAAGAUCAUUAUCUAUUCCUA